rnacentral:tRNA from 1 species
GACGGUUCCACGCUAACAAACUUGAAGGUUGGAAGAGCGCAAGACUGUAAUGGUACUCCGGUCGUCUCGUCGUCGACAUCUUGAGGUCCUUGGUUCGAACCCGAGAGGGGAGACA